rnacentral:rRNA from 1 species
CUUGGUCAUUUAGAGGAAGUAAAAGUCGUAACAAGGUUUCCGUAGGUGAACCUGCGGAAGGAUCAUUAUCGUACAACUGAGGUGCAAGGGCUGUCGCUGACCGUCAAAGGUCGUGCACGCCCGAGCGCUCUCACACAAUCCAUCUCACCUUUGUGCAUCACCGCGUGGGUCCCCUUUGCGGGAGGGCUUGCGUUUUCACAUAAAAACUCGAUACAGUGUAGAAUGUUUCUUUUGCGGUCACACGCAAUCAAUACAACUUUCAACAACGGAUCUCUUGGCUCUCGCAUCGAUGAAGAACGCAGCGAAAUGCGAUACGUAAUGUGAAUUGCAGAAUUCAGUGAAUCAUCGAAUCUUUGAACGCACCUUGCGCCCCUUGGUAUUCCGAGGGGCACACCCGUUUGAGUGUCGUGAAAAUCUCAACCUCCUCGGUUUCUUCUGGACGCCGAAGGAGGCUUGGACUUUGGAGGCCUUUGCUGGCGUCUCUCGCCAGCUCCUCUCAAAUGAAUUAGCGGGGUCCUCUUUGCCGAUCCUCGACGUGUGAUAAGAUGUUUCCAUGUCUUGGUUUCUGGCUCUGUCGCCUUUGGGACCCGCUUCUAACCGUCUCAAGUCGAGACAACGUUUGAGCGUGUCUCCCUUCUCGGGAAACACCCUCGAGCCCACGAACCCUUGACCUCAAAUCGGGUGAGACUACCCGCUGAACUUAAGCAUAUCAAUAAGCGGAGGA